ensembl:lncRNA
ACCAGGACUAGACCAGGACUAAACCAGGACUAAACCAGGACUAGACCAGGACUAAACCAGGACUAGACCAGGACUAGACCAGGACUAAACCAGGACUAAACCAGGACUAAACCAGGACUAGACCAGGACUAAACCAGGACUAAACCAGGACUAGACCAGGUCUAAACCAGGACUAGACCAGGACUAGACCAGGACUAGACCAGGACUAGACCAGGACUAAACCAGGACUAAACCAGGACUAGACCAGGACUAAACCAGGACUAGACCAGGACUAGACCAGGACUAGACCAGGACUAGACCAGGACUGAACCAGGACUAAACCAGGACUAGACCAGGACUAGACCAGGACUGAACCAGGACCAAACCAGGACCAGACCAGGACUAGACCAGGACUAAACCAGGACCAAACCAGGACUAGACCAGGACUAAACCAGGACUAAACCAGGUCUAAACCAGGACUAGACCAGGACUAGACCAGGACUAAACCAGGACUGAACCAGGACUAGACCAGGACUGAACCAGGACUAGACCAGGACUGAACCAGGACUAGACCAGGACUAGACCAGGACUAAACCAGGACUAGACCAGGACUAAACCAGGACUAAACCAGGACUAGACCAGGACUAGACCAGGACUAGACCAGAACUA